AAAAAGACAAACCCUGAUUUCCGUGCCCAACGUUUGACCGUCCGUCUUAUUUGAAAAAAUUAUGAAAAAAAAUUAAAAAAACAAGUCACGCAUAAAAUAUUAAUCAUGUUUUAUCAUCUAACAACAAUGAAAAUACGAAUUAUAAAAAAAAUUUAUAUAAGACGGACAGUCAAAGUUGGACACGGAAAUCCAUGGUUUGUCUUUUU
rnacentral:pre_miRNA from 1 species